GGCGGUAAUACGGAGGUGGCAAGCGUUACUCGGAAUUAUUGGGUGUAAAGGGCAAGUAGGUGGCUUGGUAUGUGAGGGGUGAAAUACUCCGGCUCAAUCGGAGAACUGCCUUUCAUACUGCCUUGCUUGAGGAUGACAGGGGGAAAGGGAAUUCCAGGUGUAAGGGUGAAAUCUGUAGAUAUCUGGAAGAACACCAGCGGCGAAGGCGCUUUCCUGGGUCACUCCUGACACUAAAUUGCGAAAGCUAGGGGAGCAAACAGAAUUAGAUACUCUGGUAGUCCUAGCCGUAAACGAUGAGCACUAGAUGUCGGCUCCGUUAGGAGUCGGUGUCGCAGCUAACGCAUUAAGUGCUCCACCUGAGGACUACGGUCGCAAGGCUAAAACUCAAAGGAAUUGACGGGGGCCCGCACAAGCGGUGGAACAUGUGGUUCAAUUCGAUGCUACGCGAAAAACCUCACCAAGGUUUGACAUGCAAGAAGUAGUGAACUGAAAGGGGAUCGACCUGUUAAGUCAGGAGCUUGCACAGGUGCUGCAUGGCUGUCGUCAGCUCGUGUCGUGAGAUGUUGGGUUAAGUCCCGCAACGAGCGCAACCAUUAUCCUUUGUUGCAACCUUAUUUCCAGCUUGCUGGAGAUGAGAGCACUCUAAGGAGACUGCCCGGGAUAACCGGGAGGAAGGUGGAGAUGACGUCAAGUCAGUACGGCCUUUAUGCCUUGGGCUACACACGUGUUACAAUGGUUAGGACAAAGGGUUGCCAACCCGCGAGGGGGAGCUAAUCUCAAAAACCUAGCCUCAGUUCAGAUUGAAGUCUGCAAUCCGACUUCAUGAAGCUGGAAUCGCUAGUAAUGGCAGAUCAGCACGCUGCCGUGAAUACGUUCCCGGGCCUUGUACACACCGCCCGUCAAGCGAUGAGAGCCUGGAGUACCCGAAGUCCUAUGUAGGUAGGCCGAAGGUAAAACAGGUGAUUGGCGCUAAGUCGUAACAAGGUAACCGAAUCUCUGAAGAUCGCGGAUU
rnacentral:rRNA from 1 species